rnacentral:ncRNA from 1 species
AAUCGAAGAGGUUUGAACCUGGCAAAAGUCGUAACAAUGUUGCAUGCCGAUGAGCGCAAGGCAACUGUGUGCGUUUGUCGGCCAUACACACUCAAAGUUCCCUUGACUGGGGCAAGUUCCAAGAGAAGGUGCAAGGCCUGUAUGAGUGGGUUGGCAGUUGUUCGAUACUGGUUAUUGCUGUAGAGUCAAGUUGCCUGAAAGCGCAGCUCAAAGUUGGUGGUAAACCUCAUCUAAAGAUAAAUACGACCUCGAGACCGAUAUCGAACAAGUACCGCGAGG